rnacentral:rRNA from 2 species
CAUACCAAUUGUUGCCUCGGCGGAUCAGCCCGCUCCCGGUAAAACGGGACGGCCCGCCAGAGGACCCCUAAACUCUGUUUCUAUAUGUAACUUCUGAGUAAAACCAUAAAUAAAUCAAAACUUUCAACAACGGAUCUCUUGGUUCUGGCAUCGAUGAAGAACGCAGCAAAAUGCGAUAAGUAAUGUGAAUUGCAGAAUUCAGUGAAUCAUCGAAUCUUUGAACGCACAUUGCGCCCGCCAGUAUUCUGGCGGGCAUGCCUGUUCGAGCGUCAUUUCAACCCUCAAGCCCCCGGGUUUGGUGUUGGGGAUCGGCGAGCCCUUGCGGCAAGCCGGCCCCGAAAUCUAGUGGCGGUCUCGCUGCAGCUUCCAUUGCGUAGUAGUAAAACCCUCGCAACUGGUACGCGGCGCGGCCAAGCCGUUAAACCCCCAACUUCUGAAUGUUGACCUCGGAUCAGGUA